rnacentral:tRNA from 1 species
GGUGGGGUGGCAGAGCGGUUGAAUGCGCCGGUCUUGAAAACCGGUAACGGGCUCGUCCCGUUCAUGGGUUCGAAUCCCAUCCCCACCG